rfam:Halomonas chromatireducens strain AGD 8-3, complete genome.
AACCGCCGUAUACGGAACCGUACGUACGGUGGUGUGGGAGGGCGCCGGGGGUGACCCCGGCCCCUACCCGAU